rnacentral:lncRNA from 1 species
CCAGGGUGCCCUGGGCACUCGACCCCCAGAUGCCCCUGCUGGAACCGUAAAGGGGAGGCACCCUGAGGCCAGAGGGAGCAUGGCCCCGGGGACUGAGCAUCCGGCUCAGAGCGGCUCGGCAGAGGCCCACUGCUCAGUGGAGCGUGGAGGACGAGGAGGAGGCUGUCCACGAGCAAUGCCAGCAUGAGAGAGACAGGCAGCUUCAGGCGCAGGACGAGGAGGGAGGCGGCCAUGUCCCCGAGCGGCCGAAGCAGGAGAUGCUCACCAGAAAUGUCAGCAGCCCAGAACACCCAGCCCCUUGGUCUUGGAGGGGACCAUCGAACAGAGCUCGCCUCCCCUGAGCCCUACCACCAAACUCAUCGACAGGACCGAGUCCCUAAACCGCUCCAUAGAGAAGA